rnacentral:rRNA from 1 species
UACGUAGGGGGCAAGCGUUGUCCGGAAUCAUUGGGCGUAAAGCGCGUGUAGGCGGCCAGAAAAGUCCGCUGUGAAAACUCGAGGCUCAACUUCGAGCUGUCGGUGGAAACUUUCUGGCUAGAGUCCGGAAGAGGAGAAUGGAAUUCCUGGUGUAGCGGUGAAAUGCGCAGAUAUCAGGAAGAACACCCGUGGCGAAGGCGGUUCUCUGGGACGGUACUGACGCUGAGACGCGAAAGCGUGGGGAGCGAAUAGG